rnacentral:lncRNA from 1 species
AGAGUAAAAAAAAGAGAGAGAGAAAAAAACUUAUUUUUUAGAAAAAAAUAAGUAUUAUUAUUUGGUGAAAGUAUCAUUAAUUAAUUGAUAAAAUAUGUGUGGACAAGUAGCAACCAAUUAAUUAAAAAAGUGAUACAGUAUAAUCGUAUUUAAAUCCGAUCAAAUAAUAUUGUAGUUUAAUUUAUUCUCUAUAUUUUAAUAUAUUUUUAUUUUGAUACCCUCACACUCACCCUCCUACAAUUUUAUUUUUCAUCAUGAAAAUAUAUCGUAAUAUGAUGAUAAAAUAUUACAUUAUUAUAUCAUAUGGUUUAUAAAAAAUACUAUUAUACUGUAUUAUUUUAUGAUAGAUGGAUCCUGAUGAUAAAAUAAAAUUAAAAUUAUCUGGAACUAAAGUAUAAUUUUUUUUUUCAAAUUAUAUGGUAUAGUAAAUUAUUGUAUCCAAAGUAUUUAUUCAUUAUUGU